UACGAAGGGGGCUAGCGUUGCUCGGAAUCACUGGGCGUAAAGCGCACGUAGGCGGCUUCUUAAGUCAGGGGUGAAAUCCUGGAGCUCAACUCCAGAACUGCCUUUGAUACUGGGAAGCUUGAGUAGGCUAGAGGUGAGCAGAACUGAUGGUGGAGCGGUGAAAUGCGUUGAUAUCAUCUGGAAUACCGGAGGCGAAGGCGGCUCACUGGGGGUUUUCUGACGCUGAGGAACGAAAGCCAGGGGAGCGAACGGG
rnacentral:rRNA from 1 species